rnacentral:misc_RNA from 1 species
UCUCCGUUGGUGAACCAGCGGAGGGAUCAUUACAGAGUUGCAAAACUCCCAACCCUUUGUGAACGAACCUACCAGUUGCUUCGGCGGAAGGCCCUUCAGGGGGCGGCCCGCCGAAGGUCUACAAACUCUUGAUUUUUUGGCAUCUCUGAGUAGCUUAUAAAAUAAGUUAAAACUUUCAACAACGGAUCUCUUGGUUCUG